rnacentral:rRNA from 1 species
GACGAACGCUGGCGGCGUGCUUAACACAUGCAAGUCGAACGAUGAAGCCGGAGCUUGCUCUGGUGAAUUAGUGGCGAACGGGUGAGUAACACGUGAGUAACCUGCCCUUGACUCUGGGAUAACUGCGGGAAACUGUAGCUAAUACCGGAUACGACCCUCGGAGGCAUCUCCCGGGGGUGGGAAGAAUUUCGGUCAAGGAUGGACUCGCGGCCUAUCAGCUAGGUGGUGAGGUAAAGGAUCACCAAGGCGACGCCGGGUAGCCGGCCUGAGAGGGUGACCGGCCACACUGGGAAUGAGACACGGCCCAGACUCCUACGGGAGGCAGCAGUGGGGAAUAUUGCACAAUGGGCGCAAGCCUGAUGCAGCAACGCCGCGUGAGGGAUGACGGCCUUCGGGUUGUAAACCUCUUUUAGCAGGGAAGAAGCGAAAGUGACGGUACCUGCAGAAAAAGCACCGGCUAACUACGUGCCAGCCGCCGCCGUAA